rnacentral:sRNA from 1 species
CGACUUUCGGGUCGCGACGCGAGGGUUUC